rnacentral:misc_RNA from 1 species
GAUGAAGAACGUAGCGAAAUGCGAUACUUGGUGUGAAUUGCAGAAUCCCGUGAACCAUCGAGUCUUUGAACGCAAGUUGCGCCCGAAGCCAUCAGGUUGAGGGCACGUCUGCCUGGGCGUCACAUAUCGUUGCCCAAUGCCUAUUGCAGUGCAAUAGGAAUUUCUAGGGCGAAUGAUGGCUUCCCGUGAGCGUUGUUGCCUCGCGGUUGGUUGAAAAUCGAGUCCAUGGUAGGGUGUGCCAUGGUAGAUGGUGGUCGAGUUAGAACGAUACCGAUCAUGUGCAUGCUCCCCAAAAUAUGGCCUCUAUGACCCACACGCGUCUUUUGACGCUCAUGACGAGACCUCAGGUCAGGCGGGGCUACCCGCUGAAUUUAAGCAUAUCAAUAAGCGGAGGA